rnacentral:rRNA from 1 species
UACGUAGGGUGCAAGCGUUAAUCGGAAUUACUGGGCGUAAAGCGUGCGCAGGCGGUUUUGUAAGUCUGUCGUGAAAGCCCCGGGCUCAACCUGGGAAUUGCGUUGGAGACUGCAAGGCUUGAAUCUGGCAGAGGGGGGUAGAAUUCCACGUGUAGCAGUGAAAUGCGUAGAGAUGUGGAGGAACACCGAUGGCGAAGGCAGCCCCCUGGGUCAAGAUUGACGCUCAUGCACGAAGCGUGGGGAGCAAACAGG